rnacentral:lncRNA from 1 species
AGAGACAGGGAGAAGGAUGGGGAGAAAUGAGGAGCAGGAAGAAGAUUCCGAGAGAAAUAAAGAGGCCGAGAGGAGCUGAGCCAGGCAGCCGGUGGAGCAGGCAGAUGGAACAACAGAGACAAAGAACAGAGCCACGGAGUGGGCACACAGCAAGGCCUGGCAGCCAAGCCCUGUGGGUUUGGUGGGAGCAGAUGCUUAUAUGGGAGCAGCAGCUGAUGGCCCCCAGCACGUGCAUCCUUGUUGACUCCAGGCCCAGCACAGCCUCCUCGGCAGCCGGCCUUAGCCUGGAGGAGCAACCGUGGUCCAGAGAGGCAGACGAAUGGCGGCCCUGCCCCGUGGGGGCUCCAGUUCUUCUCCAUCCUCCUCCAGGCUCCGCCCACCUGCUCCGUCUGCAUCCCAGGGCCUCGUGAAUCCCAGGGAAGCCAUGAGCUGCCACAUCACGCCCGGAAGGAAGCAGGCUGCGUUGGAGGGUUGAAGAGAUGAAGGCGCAGAGGCAUGAACUCCCAUAACCAGAGAGUGUGAGCUGGACUCUACCUGGAG